rnacentral:rRNA from 1 species
UACGGAGGGUGCAAGCGUUGUCCGGAAUCACUGGGCGUAAAGGGCGCGUAGGCGGCUCGGUAAGUAGGGGGUGAAAUCCUGCGGCUUAACCGCAGGGCUGCCUUCUAAACUGUCGAGCUUGAGCACGGUAGAGGCAGAUGGAAUUCCCGGUGUAGCGGUGAAAUGCGUAGAUAUCGGGAGGAGCACCUGUGGCGAAAGCGGCUCACUGGACCACACUGACGCUGAGGCGCGAAAAGCUAGGGGGAGCAAACAGG